CCUGUCAAGUGGAUUGUGUUAUAAACGGGUAUAAUUAUGUAGUCCUUUAAUGUGCCUGAAAUGUAAAAGGAACACACCUGAUCACAUUUAACCGCUAUUAGAGAAGGCCUAUAGAUCUUUUCCAGGCAAAGCACAGUACAUCUAAUGAAAACUAUAGGGCACAAAGACUUCUCACACAAACCCUUUAGGGUUUUCGCCACAAAAAAAUUUAGUUCAUCCUUUGUCCGUGGCAUUUGCGGCACUCGCUGCCCAAGGGCCAACAAUGUUUUUCUAUUUUAACAUUUGAAUGGAC